AUGCUUACUUUGGCAGCAUAUAUGCUAAAAUUGGAAUGAAAUAGAGAAGAUUAGCUUGGCCCCAAUAUAAGGAUGACACAUAAAUUCAUGAAAUGUUUAUUAAAAUU
ensembl:snRNA U6 U6 spliceosomal RNA